UGAGAAAUUCCAAGGCUGUGAUGUGUUGCUGGGGCCUGAGAUGCGUAGCACUGGUGAGGUGAUGGGUAUUGAUUAUGAGUUUCCCAUUGCAUUUGCCAAGGCUCAGAUUGCUGCGGGGCAGAAGCUACCACUUUCUGGCACUGUCUUCCUCAGCUUAAAUGAUUUGACCAAACCUCAUCUUGAAAAGAUUGCGACAGCCUUUUUAGGGCUUGGAUUUAAGAUUGUUUCAACUUCUG
rnacentral:lncRNA from 1 species